GACGAACGCUGGCGGCGUGCUUAACACAUGCAAGUCGAACGAAAAGAGGGAAAGAGCUUGCUCUUUGCGGAAUUGAGUGGCAAACGGGUGAGUAACACGUAAACAACCUGCCUUCAGGAUGGGGACAACAGACGGAAACGACUGCUAAUACCGAAUAAGUUCCAAGGGCCGCAUGGCCCAUGGAAGAAAAGGUGGCCUCUACCUGUAAGCUAUCGCCUGAAGAGGGGUUUGCGUCUGAUUAGCUGGUUGGAGGGGUAACGGCCCACCAAGGCGACGAUCAGUAGCCGGUCUGAGAGGAUGAACGGCCACACUGGAACUGAGACACGGUCCAGACUCCUACGGGAGGCAGCAGUGGGGAAUCUUCCGCAAUGGGCGAAAGCCUGACGGAGCAACGCCGCGUGAGUGAUGACGGCCUUCGGGUUGUAAAACUCUGUGAUCCGGGACGAAAAGGCAGAGUGCGAAGAACAAACUGCAUUGACGGUACCGGAAAAGCAAGCCACGGCUAACUACGUG
rnacentral:rRNA from 1 species